UACGAAGGGGGCUAGCGUUGUUCGGAAUUACUGGGCGAAAGCGCGCGUAGGCGGAUCGCUAAGUCAGGGGUGAAAUCCCAGGGCUCAACCCUGGAACUGCCUUUGAUACUGACGAUCUGGAGAUCGGGAGAGGUUGGUGGAAUUCCGAGUGUAGAGGUGAAAUUCGUAGAUAUUCGGAGGAACACCUGAAGCGAAGGCGGCCGAACUGGCCCGAUACUGACGCUGAGGCGCGAAAGCGUGGGGAGCAAACAGG
rnacentral:rRNA from 1 species